CCUGGUAUGGAGAGUUCUUAUCUUGGACGUCUCUUCCCCAACCUUAAUUUUCCUGUUUCUCAUGAAUGGCUUUGCGAAUGGAGCUGUGGUUUUGUUUUUAUUCUAUUGUUACUGACGAUAUGUGAUCGAUCUAUGAAGAGAAACUGCGUGAGAGAGAUGAAGCAAUGUUGACAGAAGAGAGAGAGCACAACCCGCCAUUUUUAAAGAGAGUCUUUACUUUUGUUGGGAGUGUGCUCUCUCCUCUUCUGUCAUCAUCACCAAUCCUUUCUUUGAUGUUUUACACAUCAGACCAACAUAUACAGAUUCUCUCCAAACUCCACUGUAAGCUCUUCGUCUCCUCUCCCCUCUAAAUUUAAGUUCAAACAGUAAAAGGAAUCAGUCAAUUGAUGGAAGCCAUUUUCUAUGUUACAUCAAUUGAUUUUCUAUGUUACACGCAGCUCCUUAAGCCAGUCCUUGUUUUAUCAUUUACAAGGAUACUGUUUCAGGUAUAUAUAAAUGCGUGUAAUUAAGGCUCAUUUCCUUGUUAUCAUUUACAAGGAUACUGUUGUAUAAUAAGAAUAAAUGUGUCUCAUAUAUGAAACCACCAUUUAACUUUAAUCCAAUUUAUUGCUGUUUCAUGGCCGAAAGCUUUUUAUGUAGUAGUUUCUCUUAUGUCUGUUUGAUAGGGUUAGAGUACAAGUCAAAUUAGAAUUAGGAAGUAUAAUUAGUUUAGAAAGUUUAGUAGAAUUUAAAUUAUAAAGUUUAAUAAUUAGAAUUUUAAAAAAAUUAGUUUUUAGUGGCCUAUGUAUAUGUAGUUAAUUGGUCAUUGUAUUAUAUUGUAGAAAGAGCUCACGAAGUAGAGAGGUAUAUUGAAUUCUACGAGUUUUGUUAAAAUAAUUUUGAGGGUGAGAAAAAUAAUUAGUAGUUGUAUAAUUAUUUUUUUUCUUUGAUAGUGAAUUUGUUUGAUGAAGUAGAUUUACGCUUCUUUAAUUUGUGUGAGUGUGAUUUUCACAACAGAUAGUAUAAUAAUUCUUUAUUUGAACCAGAGACCUUAGGUUAGAAAUCUUGAAGUUUUGUUGUUGGUGAAAUUCCUUUAAUUUAGAGACUAGUUGAGUUUUUCAAAUCUUGCAUAUUUUCCUGCCUACCGAUGAAGGGAAGUGAGUGAUGGAAAAAAAAUUGUUCUAAUUUCUAUAUUGUAAAAGUUGCUUUCGAUGAAGCAAUGAUUCUGCAUACUUGUGGGCAAAAACAUCUGGUGAUCAUGCAAAGGAAGCAAAAUGCACAGGCAAGUAUGAAAGGAAUAUAGGGCAACAGCCUGUGGGAGGCUUAAAAUGGAACAACAUUGCACACAGAAAAGUGGAGAUGAGUCCAUAAAAAGGCAAAGCAUUAACAGAUUUGGCAAUGGAGGACCCAACACACGUCAAAAAGAAACAUGAAGUUGCAGGAAACAAUUUUGCAAAUUUGGGAAAUCGACUUUGACGUGAAAUGCUUACCAUGCCAUCACUUUACCCCUAAAGCCCACUGAACUGUUCUCGCUGACUACAGUUUCCUGACGCUUCAGUGUGAAAUGUACCUGCCUUUGGCCAUUGCCUUGCUCUCAUUAUCAAUACAAAUAAGCUGCAGUAGUGGUCAUCCAUGCACCCAGAGAAGGGAUUUACAGCAACUCCACAGCAUUAUUGUUAUUAUUAUUAUUAAAGCACAAGAUGUUAUUGAUAAUAUAUGUAAAAAUACAAAUUAGAGAUGAAUUUGUGAAAGGAAAAAAAAAUUUAAUUUUUA